rnacentral:rRNA from 1 species
GACGUAGGGCGCGAGCGUUGUCCGGAUUUAUUGGGCGUAAAGAGCUCGUAGGCGGUCUGUCGCGUCUGCUGUGAAAAACUCGGGGCUUAACCCCCGGGCCUGCAGUGGGUACGGGCAGACUAGAGUGCGGUAGGGGAGACUGGAAUUCCUGGUGUAGCGGUGAAAUGCGCAGAUAUCAGGAGGAACACCGGUGGCGAAGGCGGGUCUCUGGGCCGUAACUGACGCUGAGGAGCGAAAGCGUGGGGAGCGAACAGG